rnacentral:rRNA from 1 species
UAUAUAUACAGUGAAUCAUCGAAUCUUUGAACGCACAUUGCACUGACGGUAAUUCGUCAGUAUACCUGUUUGAGCAUCAUCCACACCUCAACUGCGCGCAGGCCGUCACUGGCAGGCACUGCAGCUGGACCUGGGUUGCUGUCGCUCUUUGAUGGGCGACGCGACCUGAAGUGGAGGAGUGCGGACUGGUGUUGACGCCGCAGAGUUAAUUCAAGGCCUACCAUCACGGUGGCCGUGUCUUGUCUGCCUGGUGUUGGCCCUUAACCCACUCACCUUGACAUUGGACGGACGCGUCUUAGAAAACGCGUGACCGCUCAACCUUUGAUCUCGAAUCAAGUAAGAUUACCCGCUGAACUUAAGCAUAUCAAUAAGCGGAGG